AUUGUACUUUAUUUGUAUAAUACAUAUAGCCAGUGCUCAAUAGUCGUCCGAAUGCGACGUGGUUAUACAGAUAAUACGAUUUACGAUUGUACUAUUCAUUGUCAUAAUAAUUUUCACGUUCGCUAUGGUUUUCUCAUAAAUUACAAUCGAUUAGGUUUAUCUUUCACCUACGGGUUUAGGUUUACUAUCCUAAACUUUUAUUCAAUAUUUAGUUUCGUCGAAUAUUUCAGUUUGUAUAGGUCACAUUUCAAUCGACUUCACUACAAGUGAUCGCAUGUGCCCCACAUUAUGUUUCGAAUUACACCUUGCAUUCAGACUGAAAAAUGCAUACAGUUCAAGAAGCACCAAAAUUCGUUCGUAUGUGCGAACGACAUCAGUCUUAUUUUACCACU